AAAUAGAAAGUUUUGCCGGUUGGGGGAGCAAUACGGGAAAAGUGAGCCGAGCAGAAAAGAGCAGGAGCGGGCCGGCCGGGUCCGUUUGCCGUGGCGCGCGGGGGAGCUGAGGAAGGACUCCGCGCGGAACCCAGGAGUGUGGCGUCGCGGAGGUGCGGGAGCGACUGUCGCAGGCCGAGUCUGUGCUCCUCGGAUCUGCACCAGGAGAGCGGGGUCUGGACCCGGAGAGCAGCGGGCCGCGCUUUUCUCUCGCACCCUGCGGCCAACACUAUCACUUAAAACUGGGCCUGGUGGAAUGGAGGGGGUCGCAAUGUCCAAGAAGACUAAUCACCUUCCCCCACUCUGCCUGGACUGCGGCGGUCACCAGUCGCCCGCGGAGAGCUGGCCUAUUUGUCACUCUGCCCUGGGAUUCUCUACUGUGCCGCGAUGGGGGAGGGGACACCCGGACUGCUGAGCCCUUCGGCUGGGUGUGAGUUUUGAAACCCUCUUUUUUUCCCCCUUGAGGAGACUCUCCCCUCUGGGGAUUUGUUCUGGGCCUGAUUGGGUUGCGAGAACUUGUGGAAGACUAGUAGAACCUGGGCCCGGCCUGGUUCGAAUGUCUGUUUAUUUCUCAAAGUGACUCCUCCUACUUAUGCGGGACCUUGUGUGUGCCCCUUAAGAGGACAAGGCUUGAUCCGCGCCCUGACAACCGGCGUUCGGGCUGCGGGAAAGCCCGAUGCGUCCUCCUGGGGUCCAGUGGCUGUAUCCAUACUAAUUUCCUCGGUAACCUUUAAACUCUCUGGAAGCAGCCGCGACGGCGGCUGGUCACGUGAGGCGAGCCCUGGGCUGCUGGGGAAGAAUUUCCUGGGCCAGGGACCAGGACCGGGAAGGCGGGCGGCAGGGAAUGGCUCUGUGCCGAGGGGGACUGGGAACCUGGGAGCGCCGGGCGGGGCGCGCCAGGCCCCGGGCGCCGCGCAGCGGGAACUUCCAGCCUGCGCCCGGGAAGGGGUUCGUCCCGCAGCUCUCCGCCGUGUGAGUGGAAAAAGAAAACCUCCGCCCUCACCCGAGUGCCAAGGCAAGUCCGGCUGUUCGUUCGGAUGGUGAAAAGCUAAGUGUUUAUCUGGCGACUCUGAUAAGUGUGGAUCAAAAUGUACAAACCGCAUUCCAUUCACUUUUUCCUCUGUGGAAAAGGGUUAUCAUUUCUUGUAGUUUAAAGAUGAGAAGGCAGUCUCCAGGAAUGACAUACCAAGUACAGUACACACACACACACACACACACACACACACACACACACACACAGAGUUCAGGGGUUUGAGUUCAGGCAGAUCUCCUCCUAAAGUUUAAGUGUGCAGUCACGCCCCCUCCCCGUAGCUCACUUACUUUCCUGACAGCCAGUCCUGUUGCGUGGGAUAAAAAUGCACCUUUGCUAUACAGAUGCUGAUAAAAAUGCACCUUUGGCAAUGAUUAUGGCCUUAAGAUCAUUGGCGCCUAAAAAAUAAUUUUAAAACUUCCUAUAAGGACAUGCAGCAAAACGUAAUGACAAUGAGACUUUCUCUCCAGGCUAUGUGUUUAAGAAGCAGGCCCAGUGCUAAAAGAACAAAACAAAACAAAACAAAAAACCGGUAGGGAUACACUCUAGGUUAAAGAAUGCCCCCCCCCAAAUCAUUAAACAAAAUGGUAUUUAAAAUAUUUUUGAAUAAAAGGUAAUAUUUUUAAAAUAAAAGGUAUUAUUAAUUUUCAGGAUGAAUAGAACAUGCUAGUUUUAGGUCUUUUUAAAUAGUUCACUAAGUACAGUUCUCUUUACUCAGGUUCUUGGCAUCCAUCAAGAUUUUCACAUAAACGGAAGGCUUCAUUUGCCCUACUCUGCCCCGGCCCUGCUGGGCAGUCCAGCCAGGCAGGGAUUUCUUGAAGUUAGAGAUCCGAACUUAACUAGUUGGUGUUUCUUGAUAUGUCUCCAAUUUUGUCUGAUGGGCCCUAUCUUACGUGCAAAUAGAGUUGGAAUCGGAAAAUCAUAGACAUGAUCCCUUCUUUUUUGGCAUACUAAACAAGAAAUAAAUUUAAAAUUAAACACUGAA
rnacentral:lncRNA from 1 species